rnacentral:rRNA from 1 species
AUCCUACGGGACGCAGCAGUGGGGGAUAUUGCACAAUGGGGGAAACCCUGAUGCAGCGACGCCGCGUGUGGGAAGACGGUCCUCUGGAUUGUAAACCACUGUCCCCAGGGACGAAGAUGACGGUACCUGGGGAGGAAGCUCCGGCUAACUACGCGCCAGCAGCCGCGGUAAUACGUAGGGAGCAAGCGUUGUCCGGAAUUACUGGGUGUAAAGGGAGCGUAGGCGGGAUGGCAAGUUGGGUGUUAAAUCUACCGGCUCGCCCGG